rnacentral:rRNA from 1 species
UACGGAGGGAGCUAGCGUUGUUCGGAAUUACUGGGCGUAAAGCGCACGUAGGCGGCUUUGUAAGUUAGAGGUGAAAGCCUGGAGCUCAACUCCAGAACUGCCUUUAAGACUGCAUCGCUUGAAUCCAGGAGAGGUGAGUGGAAUUCCGAGUGUAGAGGUGAAAUUCGUAGAUAUUCGGAAGAACACCAGUGGCGAAGGCGACUGACUGGACAAGUAUUGACGCUGAGGUACGAAAGCGUGGGGAGCAAACAGGG